rnacentral:lncRNA from 1 species
CCCGUCACUUUUUCCCCCGGCUCCUUUUAGACAGUUUUUUCCCCCCACAAUUCCGACCAACUUGGUACUCCCAGAAUAUUCCCCUGGUCACUUUCAUUCUCUACUGUUCACUUAGCCACCUCAUCUCCUUCUUCUCACAGCUUAUUCAUAGCAGAUCUUGUUGCUGUUUAGAGGUCUGGAAUUCUUGCUUUUCGCCGGAAAUUUUUCCGGCAACUCCUGCUCUUUUCUUUCUAUUCUC